rnacentral:rRNA from 1 species
UACAGAGGGGGCGAGCGUUUAAUCGGAAUUACUGGGCGUAAAGGGCGCGUAGGCGGCCUGCUAAGUCGAACGUGAAAUCCCUGGGCUCAACCCAGGAACUGCGUCCGAUACUGGUUGGCUUGAAUCCGGGAGAGGGACGUGGAAUUCCAGGUGUAGCGGUGAAAUGCGUAGAUAUCUGGAGGAACACCGGUGGCGAAGGCGACGUCCUGGACCGGCAUUGACGCUGAGGCGGCGAAGGUCAGGGGAGCAAACGGG